UACGUAGGGCGCUAGCGUUGUCCGGAAUCAUUGGGCGUAAAGCGCGCGUAGGCGGCCCGGUAAGUCCGCUGUGAAAGUCAAAGGCUCAACCUUUGAAUGUCAGCGGAUACUGCCGGGCUAGAGUCCGGAAGAGGCGAGUGGAAUUCCUGGUGUAGCGGUGGAAUGCGCAGAUAUCAGGAGGAACACCAAUAGCGAAGGCAGCUCGCUGGGACGGUACUGACACUGAGGCGCGAAAGCGUGGGGAGCGAACAGG
rnacentral:rRNA from 1 species